GCCUCUUGACUUAACCAUAAGAGGUCCAGCCUGCCCAGUGACAUUGUUCAACGGCCGCGGUAUUCUAACCGUGCAAAGGUAGCGUAAUCACUUGUCCUUUAAAUGAGGACUAGUAUGAACGGCCACACGAAAGCUAUACUGUCUCCUUUUUCUAAUCAGUUAAACUAAUCUUCCCGUGAAGAAGCGGGAAUAAUCAUAUAAGACGAGAAGACCCUAUGGAGCUUUAAGCAAUUGAAACACUUGUACCCACCUUCUUCACUUCCACAUAACACUUAACUCCACAUUUUGUUUCUAGCUUUAGGUUGGGGUGACCACGGAGAAAAAACUAUCCUCCACGCCGAAAGAGUUAAUCUCUAAACUAAAAACUACACCUUUAAGUAUUAAUAUAUUAACCUAAAUUGACCCAAUAAUUUGAUCAACGAACC
rnacentral:rRNA from 1 species